rnacentral:rRNA from 1 species
GACGAACGCUGGCGGCGUGCUUAACACAUGCAAGUCGAGCGGAAAGGCCCUUCGGGGUACUCGAGCGGCGAACGGGUGAGUAACACGUGAGUAACCUGCCCUUGGCUCUGGGAUAAGCCCGGGAAACUGGGUCUAAUACCGGAUAUGGCCAUCAGAUGCAUGUCUUGGUGGUGGAAAGAUUUUUCGGCUGGGGAUGGGCUCGCGGUCUAUCAGCUUGUUGGUGGGGUGAUGGCCUACCAAGGCGACGACGGGUAGCCGGCCUGAGAGGGUGACCGGCCACACUGGGGACUGAGACACGGCCCAGACUCCUACGGGAGGCAGCAGUGGGGAAUAUUGCGCAAUGGGCGGAAGCCUGACGCAGCGACGCCGCGUGGGGA